CAGCACUUGGGAGGCUGAGGCAGGAGAACCACAGGAACAUUGUAAUGAAGAAUGUCUUUCCCAGUUCUUAACGCCCAAGAAAGCAGGUGCGGGGACGUGGCCGCAUGGUGACGGGCACACAGCCCCUUGGCCCUGUGACUUGACACCCACAGGAGGACGCGGCUGUGAACGUGAACGCCUGUGGAUUCACUUACCGUGUGCAAACACUGGAGCGUUGGUGCACACGCCCGUCUCCCGCAGGAUGGAAACUGCCCGUGCUGCACCGCAGCAGCUGGUGUUCGGGGGUCUCCAGAACUUCGCCCAGCUCUGGGCCCCUACCCACGCGCCCCACGGUUACUUUAGAGCAGUUACAUGGUAGAAAUCUUGAGGGAGUACAGGAACUGAUUUCUGACCUUUGCAGUUUCUACCAUCAGAACAAAGAACGUGCCAGCGACCUCAUCCGCCAUGAGUAAUGACUGUCUCAGUUACGAAACCUGGUACCGAGCCAAACGAAAGAGCCAUGAUGGGAGAGAGAGAUCGGGGCUGCGGAGAUGGGAGGGCCGGAGGGGGGGGGCAGUGAAAAGGACCGAGGUGGGCUCUGCAUGUGGAUCAAGGCCGUGGAAUCACUACGCUGCAAUAGCACGGAUACAGAAUUUAAAAGGUCUGGCAAUCCUAAUGUGUAAGUACCCUGUAAGGAUAUUUCAUACCAUACAUGUAUCUUUUAAGAGCAGUAGCAGCUCUGGAUUAGUUGAUUGUUACUAAAUUGACAAUAACAUGAAUAGUUAAUAAUUUGGAAGCUGGCAUUGCCGGGACCCAAAGCAGCAGACCCAACGCUUCUGGCCUUGGAGGGGCAGGAGGCAGGGUGGCUGCCCCUCGUGUCACCUGCUGGUCGCCUCCUUCGGUGCUGAUGCUGAGUAUGUUGGGGGUGGGUAUUACCCAGCUGUGCCCUGAGUUUUAAAGAAGGAAGUGGCUGAUGGAGUAUCUAGCUUUACUUGA